GAUGAACGCUGGCGGCGUGCCUAAUACAUGCAAGUCGAGCGAACGGACGAGAAGCUUGCUUUUCUGAUGUUAGCGGCGGACGGGUGAGUAACACGUGGAUAACCUACCUAUAAGACUGGGAUAACUUCGGGAAACCGGAGCUAAUACCGGAUAAUAUUUUGAACCGCAUGGUUCAAAAGUGAAAGACGGUCUUGCUGUCACUUAUAGAUGGAUCCGCGCUGCAUUAGCUAGUUGGUAAGGUAACGGCUUACCAAGGCAACGAUGCAUAGCCGACCUGAGAGGGUGAUCAGCCACACUGGAACUGAGACACGGUCCAGACUCCUACGGGAGGCAGCAGUAGGGAAUAUUCCGCAAUGGGCGAAAGCCUGACGGAGCAACACCGCGUGAGUGAAGAAGGUCUUCGGAUCGUAAAACUCUGUUGUUAGGGAAGAACAUAUGUGUAAGUAACUGUGCACAUCUUGACGGUACCUAAUCAGAAAGCCACGGCUAACUACGUG
rnacentral:rRNA from 1 species